UGAUGCCAUUUCACAGAGAAUGUCAACC
rnacentral:piRNA from 1 species